ACUGCACUAGUAACUCUUCUGAUAAGUUCAUUCUGAGUGCCUUGAGUUUAGAAGUAGUAUGAGACAUUUUCAUAAUGUACUCACUUAUGUUUCAUUUUCCUUUGUAUCUCAAGAAAACAAUGUUUGCUAAGAGUGUGCUAGUUUCAAACUUCUUAUUCUUGGCAAAAUGUUUCUCGAGGUUCUCAAGGAAACCAUUAACUAUAGUUAUUUGAUCGGACAUAGUCCUCAAGGUCCUCAAUUAUAGCACGUUUCAUAAUCAUCAAACUUAUAUGGUUCGAUCGUUCCUACCUAUUAAACUCCCUUUAAUCAUCAAAGGUACUCUCAGUAGUAAGCAAAUCAGGUUGAUCGACCCGUAAAGUAAGGUCCAAAUCCAUUACUCCAAAAAUAAUGAAAA
rnacentral:lncRNA from 1 species